GGGAAGAAAACUUCCAAAAAAGUUGGUACAAAAUGAACUACUCGAAAGUCCCAGCCUCUGAUAAAACGUCUGUUUGAGUAGUUUAUGAAGGCAGUGUACUUUUGCCGCCCUGCAUGUAUCUCGUUCCCACUCGAAGAAUGCUUCAUACAUUUUGUAAACAACUGUUUGACAGUUUUUUAGAAAAUUUUGUUUGGGGCUCGACUAAAGGCGAUGAAGUAUUCUUCUGUUCGUGCAAAACGAUUGGUUAUUCUAAAGGCAAAUCUUAUGAGGCUGCGAAUGAAUAUCAAACAUAUAAGCCAAUGAAACUAGUUUCAAAGUUCGUUUCGUACUUAUGGUCUGCUUGAUGUGCUAGUUUGCAUGCAAACGCUGCGAUAAAGAAGUUGGAAGCAAUAUGUUCGCCAUGUGUAACCAAGGUGUCCAGGCCAGUUAAUGGAAUCCUUCCGGUUUUGUUCAUGAAUUCGAUUGGUUUCCGAAAUAUGCUUGAAAAAUUUCGUAAUGUGUCGGUGAUUACGACGACAUGAAUGUCGGAGAAGAAGGACGCAAGAAUCUGAUCGAUUGUUUCGAACUGGCACCGGAACCGAAGAGUGACGUUGGUAUCAAAGACGAAGCUAUUGUCAAUGAAACGGAGAGGGACGAGAUUGCGGACGAUGAUCGAUUUCAGGAUGCUGUAGAGUAAAUUUACUAACUUGAGAAAUUACACAUCUUGCUAUUGUGCUUAUACACCAAUAAACAUUAAACCACGGUCCUAAAACUGAAAAUCGUGCACCAUCUGCCCACACAUUAUUUUAUUAUUUGCCAAAUAUUGUUACACACUUAGAAAUUUUCUACUGGAUGAGGUUUGAUAAAAUUUUCAAGAGUUUCAAGACGCACUAUACUGGAAGGAGAUUAUGCGCGCUUCACGCCUG